rnacentral:rRNA from 1 species
AUUGAACGCUGGCGGAAUGCUUUACACAUGCAAGUCGAACGGCAGCACGGGGGCAGCCCUGGUGGCGAGUGGCGAACGGGUGAGUAAUACAUCGGAACGUGCCCGGUCGUGGGGGAUAACGUAGCGAAAGUUACGCUAAUACCGCAUACGAUCUGAGGAUGAAAGCGGGGGACCUUCGGGCCUCGCGCGAUCGGAGCGGCCGAUGUCAGAUUAGGUAGUUGGUGGGGUGAAGGCCUACCAAGCCGACGAUCUGUAGCUGGUCUGAGAGGACGACCAGCCACACUGGGACUGAGACACGGCCCAGACUCCUACGGGAGGCAGCAGUGGGGAAUUUUGGACAAUGGGCGCAAGCCUGAUCCAGCCAUGCCGCGUGCAGGACGAAGGCCUUCGGGUUGUAAACUGCUUUUGUACGGAACGAAAAGGCUCUGGCUAAUACCUGGGGCUCAUGACGGUACCGUAAGAAUAAGCACCGGCUAACUACGUG